CGCGGUAAUUCCAGCUCCAAUAGCGUAUACUAAAGUGUUGCAGUUAAAAAGCUCGUAGUUGGAUUUCUGGCGGGGACGGCUGGUCGGUCUCGAAAGGGGCUGUACUGUUGUUGGUUCCCGUCAUCCUUGGGGAGAGCGGCUCUUACAUUAAGUUGUCGGCGUCGGGAUCCCUAUCUUUUACUGUGAAAAAAUUAGAGUGUUCAAAGCAGGCUUAGGCCCUGAAUACAUUAGCAUGGAAUAAUAAGAUACGACCUUGGUGGUCCAUUUUGUUGGUUUGCACGCCAAGGUAAUGAUUAAUAGGGAUAGUUGGGGGUAUUCGUAUUCAAUUGUCAGAGGUGAAAUUCUUGGAUUUAUGGAAGACGAACUACUGCGAAAGCAUUUACCAAGGAUGUUUUCAUUAAUCAAGAACGAAAGUUAGGGGAUCGGAGAUGAUUAGAUACCAUCGUAGUCUUAACCAUAAACUAUGCCGACUAGGGAUCGGUGGGUGCAUUUUUAGGCCUCAUCGGCACCUUAUGAGAAAUCAAAGUCUUUGGGUUCCGGGGGGAGUAUGGUCGCAAGGCUGAAACUUAAAGAAAUUGACGG
rnacentral:rRNA from 1 species